rnacentral:rRNA from 1 species
UGGGGAAUAUUGCACAAUGGGGGAAACCCUGAUGCAGCGACGCCGCGUGAGCGAUGAAGGCUUUCGAGUCGUAAAGCUCUGUCCUAUGGGAAGAUAAUGACGGUACCAUAGAAGAAAGCCCCGGCUAAUUACGUGCCAGCAGCCGCGGUAAUACGUAAGGGGCGAGCGUUGUCCGGAAUUAUUGGGCGUAAAGAGUGCGUUGGCGGCAAAUUAAGUCAGAUGUGAAAACUAAGGGCUCAACCCAUAGAUUGCAUCUGAAACUGAUAUGCUUGAGUCAAGGCGAGGAAAGUGGAAUUCCUAGUGUAGCGGUGGAAUGCGUAGAUAUUAGGAGGAAUACCGGUGGCGAAGGCGACUUUCUGGACUUGAACUGACGCUGAGGCACGAAAGCGUGGGGAGCAAACAGG